rnacentral:rRNA from 1 species
GUCCAUGCAGUAAACGAUGAGUGCUAGUCUUCAAAAAGACACAGCUAACGCGUGAAGCACUCCGCCUGAGGAGUACGAUCGCAAGAUUGAAACUCAAAGAAAUUGACGGGAGCCUAUCCAAGCGGUGGAGCAUGUGGUUUAAUUCGAUAAUACACGCAAAAUCUUACCAGCUCUUGACAUCAUCGUUUUUUGAGAGAUCAAAAAAGUAUAGCGAUAACAGGUGUUGCAUGGCUGUCGU